GAACACUUCGCUCUGAUGUAAGAUUAAUUAUUACUAGCAAACUUCAUAUGGUAACACACAUGCCUUGCGAAUCGUACUACUAUGCAGCACACUGUUAAAUACAAACUUCUGCAUACAAAACAUUAGGCCAUACCCUAUAACCUACAGGCUUUGCCCGCAACACCAAUGAGCUAUAUUGUGAUAAGCCAGGAAACUGGGCCACAAGCAAAGUAAACCAAGAGUGACUAAAAAUGGUGCCAGCAGCCGCGGUUAUACCACAACUCAAAAUUAAUCCGCACACAAUAGAAACACCAACCAAAUAUAGAUUGCAAUCUUACAAGUAAAGGUGAAAUUUAAUCCUGACCAAAUACACCCUAACCAAUCAUUCUAAUACGUGCUUCAACAAACCACAAUAAAAAACAUGGAUUAGAUACCCAUUUAUUAAGUGGCCCAACACAUCAAACUCUAAAAACGAAAGUUCCAAACUUAAAAAGCGUGGCGGUAUUUUACACCUCAUUAGGGGAUCCUGUGGCUUAAUUCGAUAAUCCACGAACACUCAAGCUUUGUUAGCUCACAGCUUAUGUAUGGCCGUUCUAAGUCUGCAUUCUAAUAUCAAAAGAGCAAACAUUCAAAGGAAUCAAACCUUAACAGCACAGGUGACAUAUAGCCAACACAAAGCAGCUCAAUGGGAUACAAAUGAAUAACAAUCACCCGAAGAAGAAAGAAAACCCUUCGAAAGGAGAACUUAAAAGUAAGGUUCGCAACAUUAUUACAACCUGAAUAAGAACUAAAAUGCGCACAAAUCGCCCGUCACUCCCGGUAAUUAAAUCGGGACAAGUCGUAACAUAGUAGAGGUAACGGAAGUUGUCCCUAUACAA
rnacentral:rRNA from 1 species